GCAGCUGGAUCACAGUUGGGUUCAGCUCCCAAAUAUAUGCUAAAUAAAACCAAAAAAAAUCUGAAAAAACCUGAAGUUGUGAACAAUGUCAGAAGAGAUUAGAAAUCCAAAGGCUUCCAUCGCUUGGAUCCAAAUUCAGAGUUUUGGUGUCUGUCUGGGAAGUGGAAGAGGUAUAGGAAGUGAGGAGAGCCACAUUGUCAUUGAUUCAAAUAAGUAGGAGCAGUUUGUCUGUUUUAACCCAACCUCAUGCUGUGUUGCUGUUGCCACUGCUAUGCAUGUUUCUCUAAUCAGCCACAUGACGCAUUCAUUGUCUGUCUUCUGAAACACUGCAUCUUUAUGAAUGGCAUGCUGCCUGGUGCAAGUUUGAAGAGCCCUGAUAUGGAUUAGAACCCUGCCUGCUGAAGCAAAGCAAUUUGAGAAGUACUCUGAGAAUAAAAGAUCCGGUUAAGAUGGCUCCACUUAGAGGUCUAAAAAUGAGUUGGGAGAAAAAUUGUUGCUUCGAUGGUGGUAGGAAUUUUAAUGUUAACAAUACUUUCAUCCUGAAGCUGUUUUAUUGCAUAGAUUGGAGCCCACACUUGAAAUUUGUCAAUCGUGU